AAAGCCUGAUGCAGCGACGCCGCGUGAGGGAUGACGGCCUUCGGGUUGUAAACCUCUUUCAGCAGGGAAGAAGCGAAAGUGACGGUACCUGCAGAAGAAGCGCCGGCUAACUACGUGCCAGCAGCCGCGGUAAUACGUAGGGCGCAAGCGUUGUCCGGAAUUAUUGGGCGUAAAGAGCUCGUAGGCGGCUUGUCACGUCGAUUGUGAAAGCCCGAGGCUUAACCUCGGGUCUGCAGUCGAUACGGGCUAGCUAGAGUGUGGUAGGGGAGAUCGGAAUUCCUGGUGUAGCGGUGAAAUGCGCAGAUAUCAGGAGGAACACCGGUGGCGAAGGCGGAUCUCUGGGCCAUUACUGACGCUGAGGAGCGAAAGCGUGGGGAGCGAACAGGAUUAGAUACCCUGGUAGUCCACGCCGUAAACGGUGGGAACUAGGUGUUGGCGACAUUCCACGUCGUCGGUGCCGCAGCUAACGCAUUAAGUUCCCCGCCUGGGGAGUACGGCCGCAAGGCUAAAACUCAAAGGAAUUGACGGGGGCCCGCACAAGCGGCGGAGCAUGUGGCUUAAUUCGACGCAACGCGAAGAACCUUACCAAGGCUUGACAUACACC
rnacentral:rRNA from 1 species